UGACUGACAUUGUAAUCUCCAUAAGCAUUUCUAAUUUGUUAACUAUUGUUCUUUAUCGUAAACUAACAAAGAAACCAUUUCCCAUUUGCAUCCAAAGGGAAGUUCUGAUUUCUGAAGCAAUUUUGACACAUUAAACAAAACAGAUAUUCAACUACUAAUAUACUGUGAAAUUUAGCAAUGGAUAUUAAAUACGCAAAUUACAGUUGAAAGCUUGGGUUCCGUACUGGGGCUUCUCAGGACAACAAAGUAUAUAACGGCGGCGAUAACUGUUCUGAUGAUAUGAUCAUUUCUGUACAAAAAAUACUCUGCCACCAUCGUUCGAAAGCAACCCGCAAAAUUAACCGAUGAAGCAUGUAUAAAGCAGUGCCUCUCCUCCACACUGCUAGUGCCUGAAUUGACCUCUAUUCCGUCAAGCUAGAGAAAUUAGAAGAGGUAAAAAGAUCAAUCAACCACCCAAAUUUUGGUGAGCUUCAGAAACAGAAGUAGCUUAAUGAGCAAUAGAAUGUUAAACAUAAGUUCUUCUCAUGUUUUAGUCUCUAUGGACUGCUAAAGAUGGAUGUCAUGCCAAUCUUGCAUGUUGGAGCCUUGUUACUUUAGAUUUAGAAUUCAGAUAGUGGCAGUUCUGCAUAGGCACUGAAAAUACUAAUGUUGUUGUACACCUUUGAUCAUGCCAAAGCAAAUAUGCUCUUAUUUGUGUAUAAAGCUUUGAAGUUUACCAUGCUACAAUUUGCUAUUGCCAAAAUAAUGUCACAUUGUAGCCAUUAGCACUUUCAGAAAGGAUGGUGUGGGCAUUCAAACGUAAUACUCUCAGGUAACAAAACAUAAAGCUGAAACCAAUGCCUCACAGGCGCGUCGAGUAGCGGAACAAGGGAAUGUAAUUGUAACUGACCCGCAAUUAUGCAGUGAAAAGGUAAAAAAAAAAAUCUACACCAUCACGUAUUGGUAUAUAUGAGACGAUUUACAUUCCUGUUCCAUUAUUACUGUUUAUGUUGAUGCAACAGUAAACCGAAAAUGAAUUGAACAAGGACAAAGAAAACAACCAUCGAUCUCAUGGCAUGGACAUCGUUCAUGGUGAUGGUGCCGGAGCAGUAUCACCUCCUGUGCCGACGGCGACGAUGGGGCUACGCACGACAUGCUUCUCCGAUACCCAGCUCAAGGUUCCCUCCACGUAGAGCUCUUUGCCCAGGUCAUGGCCGCUCAUGGACACACUGAAGGGCUUCUUCUCUCCGGUUUUGGAGAACGACAUCGUCUCCGGGACGACACGCACCCAGGGCCGGUCCUGAGAUUUUAGGGGCCCGAGGCGAAACUAAAUUUUGGGGCCCUUAAUAAUAAUCAAUACAUGUAUAUAUAAAAAAUGUUUUUGGUGAACACUUGAUAUUUGUGUCAUUGUGAUCUUUUUUUUUUGAAAAGGGGAAAGACCCCGGCCUCUACAUCAUCAUGAUGCACACAUCCAUUUUUAUUAAAAGGAAAUAAAUAGGUUUGAAACGUAUAUAGUAUCAACUAAAACGGCAGAAUGAAAAAAAACACCAUAAAUAGUGGGUACAAACGAAAGAUUACAUGACUUAACCACAUAAUCUUCAUUGUGAUCUUAUAAGUAUCCCUAUAUAUAGAAAAUAUAUGAAUGUCGUUAUCUAAAGACAUCCUUGGAAAUAGGAGGGCAUGCUAAUUAUCAAGGUUACUAGAACGAUGGAGCAUAGUUAUAUGGUUUCAGGUAUAGAAGGUUCGAAGACAAUGACUCCAUGUAUAGUGCUAAAAGAAAUUUGAUCAAAAAGCAUAGUUGUUCUUGGACUGCUUAAUGGUAAGAUUAUUAUUCUAUAAAUAGCAGUGUCCAAGAAAUUAAGAUUAGAGGAGCAAAUAAAUUAAAAUGAUAUUCAAAAUAUUCUUCAUAGAUUAGAAAUCAAAUCUGCAACCGUGCAAAGUUACUCCUACUAGUUGUGCAAAUUUAUUGUGCCAUCCUAUAAUUCAACCCAAAACUACUCGUCACGAUUUGCAUCCAGAACAUCAUCUUGUUCUUAAUCUAUUUGAGAUCUACACCAUAAAAUCCUUGUUCCCAAACUGUAGAAGCAUAUCGGUCAGUGAUACGUACCGCGGAAGACAUUGACCUGGCAGACAACGCUUAGAUCCACAAACUACACGCCGGUGCGCCGCCGGCUCCGACGCGCAG
rnacentral:lncRNA from 1 species